rnacentral:rRNA from 1 species
UAUUGCUUGAAGAUGGGCCCGCGUGCUAUUAGCUAGUUGGUGAGGUAAAGGCUCACCAAGGCUACGAUAGCUAGCUGGUCUGAGAGGAUGACCAGCCACACUGGAACUGGAACACGGUCCAGACUCCUACGGGAGGCAGCAGUGAGGAAUUUUGCGCAAUGGGGGCAACCCUGACGCAGCAACGCCGCGUGAGUGAUGAAGGCCUUCGGGUCGUAAAGCUCUGUCAGGCGGGAAGAAGUCCAUUGGGGUGAAUAUCCCUGGUGGUUGACGGUACCGCUGAAGGAAGCACCGGCUAACUCCGUGCCAGCAGCCGCGGUAAUACGGAGGGUGCGAGCGUUAUUCGGAAUCAUUGGGUGUAAAGCGCGUGUAGGCGGUUUGACGAGUCGGAUGUGAAAUCUUCAGGCUUAACCUGGAAAGUGCAUCCGAUACUGUCAGGCUUGAGUUCGGGAGAGGAAGGUGGAAUUCCCAGUGUAGAGGUGAAAUUCGUAGAUAUUGGGAGGAACAUCGGUGGCGAAGGCGACCUUCUGGACCGUGACUGACGCUGAGACGCGAAAGCGUGGGUAGCAAACAGGAUUAGAUACCCUGGUAGUCCACGCUGUAAACGAUGGGUACUAGGUGUAGGGGGUAUUGACCCCCCCUGUGCCGUAGCUAACGC